CAAUCCCUGGAUGGUGGCUCUGGGUGUGAUCCUGUCUCUCCUGGCUGUUCUCAUUGGCCUGGCCAGUUACUGCUUCUGGAGGCAACACAGAGCGAAAGAGAAACUGCAGGGUGAACUCAAGUGGAGAAGAGCCCUACUAAAUGCAGGUUGGGAAAAAGCCCGACAAUAU